UUAAGCGACUAAGCGUACACGGUGGAUGCCCUGGCAGUCAGAGGCGAUGAAGGACGUGCUAAUCUGCGAAAAGCGCCGGCGAGGUGAUAUGAACCUUUGACCCGGCGAUGUCCGAAUGGGGAAACCCAGUGCAAUCCGUUGCACUAUCGUUAACUGAAUACAUAGGUUAACGAGGCGAACCGGGGGAACUGAAACAUCUAAGUACCCCGAGGAAAAGAAAUCAACCGAGAUUCCCCCAGUAGCGGCGAGCGAACGGGGAGCAGCCCGGAGUCUGAAUCAGCUUGUGUGUUAGUGGAACGGUCUGGAAAGUCCGACGGUACAGGGUGAUAGUCCCGUACACGAAAGCACACAUGCUGUGAACUCGAAGAGUAGGGCGGGACACGUGGUAUCCUGUCUGAAUAUGGGGGGACCAUCCUCCAAGGCUAAAUACUCCUGACUGACCGAUAGUGAACCAGUACCGUGAGGGAAAGGCGAAAAGAACCCCGGCGAGGGGAGUGAAAAAGAACCUGAAACCGUGUACGUACAAGCAGUGGGAGCCUCUUUAUGGGGUGACUGCGUACCUUUUGUAUAAUGGGUCAGCGACUUAUAUUCUGUAGCAAGGUUAACCGUAUAGGGGAGCCGAAGGGAAACCGAGUCUUAACUGGGCGUUAAGUUGCAGGGUAUAGACCCGAAACCCGGUGAUCUAGCCAUGGGCAGGUUGAAGGUUGGGUAACACUAACUGGAGGACCGAACCGACUAAUGUUGAAAAAUUAGCGGAUGACCUGUGGCUGGGGGUGAAAGGCCAAUCAAACCGGGAGAUAGCUGGUUCUCCCCGAAAGCUAUUUAGGUAGCGCCUCGUGAAUUCAUCUUCGGGGGUAGAGCACUGUUUCGGCUAGGGGGCCAUCCCGGCUUACCAACCCGAUGCAAACUACGAAUACCGAAGAAUGUUAUCACGGGAGACACACGGCGGGUGCUAACGUCCGUCGUGAAGAGGGAAACAACCCAGACCGCCAGCUAAGGUCCCAAAGUCAUGGUUAAGUGGGAAACGAUGUGGGAAGGCACAGACAGCCAGGAUGUUGGCUUAGAAGCAGCCAUCAUUUAAAGAAAGCGUAAUAGCUCACUGGUCGAGUCGGCCUGCGCGGAAGAUGUAACGGGGCUAAACCAUGCACCGAAGCUGCGGCAGCGACACUUAUGUGUUGUUGGGUAGGGGAGCGUUCUGUAAGCCGUUGAAGGUGUGCUGUGAGGCAUGCUGGAGGUAUCAGAAGUGCGAAUGCUGACAUAAGUAACGAUAAAGCGGGUGAAAAGCCCGCUCGCCGGAAGACCAAGGGUUCCUGUCCAACGUUAAUCGGGGCAGGGUGAGUCGACCCCUAAGGCGAGGCCGAAAGGCGUAGUCGAUGGGAAACAGGUUAAUAUUCCUGUACUUGGUGUUACUGCGAAGGGGGGACGGAGAAGGCUAUGUCAGCCGGGCGACGGUUGUCCCGGUUUAAGCAUGUAGGCGGAGGUUCCAGGUAAAUCCGGUACCUUUUAACGCUGAGGUGUGAUGACGAGGCACUACGGUGCUGAAGUGAUAAAUGCCCUGCUUCCAGGAAAAGCCUCUAAGCAUCAGGUAACACGAAAUCGUACCCCAAACCGACACAGGUGGUCAGGUAGAGAAUACCAAGGCGCUUGAGAGAACUCGGGUGAAGGAACUAGGCAAAAUGGUGCCGUAACUUCGGGAGAAGGCACGCUGAUGUGUAGGUGAAGCCCCUGCGGGUGGAGCUGAAAUCAGUCGAAGAUACCAGCUGGCUGCAACUGUUUAUUAAAAACACAGCACUGUGCAAACACGAAAGUGGACGUAUACGGUGUGACGCCUGCCCGGUGCCGGAAGGUUAAUUGAUGGGGUUAGCGGCAACGCGAAGCUCUUGAUCGAAGCCCCGGUAAACGGCGGCCGUAACUAUAACGGUCCUAAGGUAGCGAAAUUCCUUGUCGGGUAAGUUCCGACCUGCACGAAUGGCGUAAUGAUGGCCAGGCUGUCUCCACCCGAGACUCAGUGAAAUUGAACUCGCUGUGAAGAUGCAGUGUACCCGCGGCAAGACGGAAAGACCCCGUGAACCUUUACUAUAGCUUGACACUGAACACUGGUCCUUGAUGUGUAGGAUAGGUGGGAGGCUUUGAAGCGUGGACGCCAGUCUGCGUGGAGCC
rnacentral:rRNA from 1 species